AAUCUGCAUAGUUUCACACACAUAGAAGACUGCGCGCCAAGCUCCUUGCCUUCAGACACACACAGGAAAGGUUUACAACACAAGAGAAGGAAACAACACCGAGGGCACCGGCGGGAAUCGAACCCACGACCUCUGGCUUAGAAGACAAAGCUUAUACCACAGAGCCACGGAGGCCCCAGAAGCUCUCAGUGGGACAUUGAUAUGUAGUCCACGGAAGGCGAGUGGAAGACCUUUAGCUUACAGCUUUUCUCCAAGAAAAUUAAGGAAAUGAUAAGGCAAGAAGGUGAUGAUGAAGAAACACGUGAUGAGAAAGCUCAAGUCAAAUAUGAAGGUUUAUACUCAAUUUCAGAAAUAUAAUGAAGGAGUUUUGAAGGACUAAAAUAAGAUUUUGAAGGAGUACUUUUGGACUGUCCUUAAUUGAUGUCCAACUUUUUUUCUACAUAUUUGACCCCCUUCUCCUUUAGUCACAAAAUGUCACAUUUCAUCUUACUCCUAUCUUUUGUCACAUGUAAUAUUUUUCUUAAACAUAUUGCUAAAACAACUGUGUGAUGUCACUUUUUGUUGCCCUUUCUUUUCCCCCUUUUUACA